rnacentral:lncRNA from 1 species
UUGAGCAAUGACAGUAUUUUGCUUAAGGAAACUGACUGCAUACAGUUGUUCCCAAGUCCAAAGUCCAGGAUGUCCAAGACCAAGGUGCCAAGGAUAUUGAUAUACCCUGGGGCUGUGGGCAGGAGCUGGUAAAGGCCAUUGUUGCUGGCCGAUGAAUCCAACACACAUUCCAGAAGGCUCCUCGGAAGCUCCUGUAUGAGGUAACCAAUUGCCUGCAGCAGUUCAGGCUUCCUUGCAUUGCUUUUUC